rnacentral:rRNA from 1 species
UACGAAGGGGGCUAGCGUUGCUCGGAAUCACUGGGCGUAAAGGGUGCGUAGGCGGGUCUUUAAGUCAGGGGUGAAAUCCUGGAGCUCAACUCCAGGAACUCGCCUUUGAUACUGAAGAUCUUGAGUUCGGGAGAGGUGAGUGGAACUGCGAGUGUAGAGGUGAAAUUCGUAGAUAUUCGCAAGAACACCAGUGGCGAAGGCGGCUCACUGGCCCGGUACUGACGCUGAGGUGCGAAAGCGUGGGGAGCAAACAGG